rnacentral:rRNA from 1 species
GUUCAAAAGUGAAAGACGGUCUUGCUGUCACUUAUAGAUGGAUCCGCGCUGCAUUAGCUAGUUGGUAAGGUAACGGCUUACCAAGGCAACGAUGCAUAGCCGACCUGAGAGGGUGAUCGGCCACACUGGAACUGAGACACGGUCCAGACUCCUACGGGAGGCAGCAGUAGGGAAUCUUCCGUAAUGGGCGAAAGCCUGACGGAGCAACGCCGCGUGAGUGAUGAAGGUCUUCGGAUCGUAAAACUCUGUUAUUAGGGAAGAACAUAUGUGUAAGUAACUGUGCACAUCUUGACGGUACCUAAUCAGAAAGCCACGGCUAACUACGUGCCAGCAGCCGCGGUAAUACGUAGGUGGCAAGCGUUAUCCGGAAUUAUUGGGCGUAAAGCGCGCGUAGGCGGUUUUUUAAGUCUGACGUGAAAGCCCACGGCUCAACCGUGGAGGGUCAUUGGAAACUGGAAAACUUGAGUGCAGAAGAGGAAAGUGGAAUUCCAUGUGUAGCGGUGAAAUGCGCAGAGAUAUGGAGGAACACCAGUGGCGAAGGCGACUUUCUGGUCUGUAACUGACGCUGAUGUGCGAAAGCGUGGGGAUCAAACAGGAUUAGAUACCCUGGUAGUCCACGCCGUAAACGAUGAGUGCUAAGUGUUAGGGGGUUUCCGCCCCUUAGUGCUGCAGCUAACGCAUUAAGCACUCCGCCUGGGGAGUACGACCGCA